rnacentral:rRNA from 1 species
GACAGAGGUGCCAAGCGUUAGGCGGAAUCACUGGGCUUAAAGCGUGUGUAGGCGGCCACUGCAAGUCAGUUGUGAAAUCUCCGGGCUUAACCCGGAAAGGUCAACUGAUACUGCAGGGCUAGAGUGCAGAAGGGGCAACUGGAAUUCUCGGUGUAGCGGUGAAAUGCGUAGAUAUCGAGAGGAACACCUGCGGCGAAGGCGGGUUGCUGGGCUGACACUGACGCUGAGGCGCGAGAGCGUGGGGGAGCAAACCGG